GUGAAAAUCCUAGCGGGCCUCUAUUGGGCAGCUCCACACCCAAUCCCAAUCCCUCCACGUCCUCCACAUCCUGACUCGUUCCUCUCCCCCAAUCCUCCCGUCUCCCCCAAUCCCCUCAUCUCUCUCUUCUCCCCCAAUCCCUCCACAUCAUCCUCCAAAUUCCAUAGCGCCUCCAGCAGGUCUCGCGCUCCGCCUCGCCGGCUAGCAGCCCGUCGCGCCUCGCCGGCCGCCUUGUCGGGCGAGCAACCCGUCGCGAUGCCUGCGGGCCUCCUCCACAUGCCGGUCGCCUCGACGGGCGAGCAACAGAAGAACGCCAUGGGGCGAGCGCUUCACGAGCAGGAGCUCCGUGGUGAGCAGUGGUCGCUGCAUCUGCUCGCCAGGGCGGCUGCACCAGCGGGUGAAAACCCUAGCGCUCCCUCCCAAUCCCGAACGUCCCUCCUCCUCACCUUCAUCCUCAGCUCGAGCCCCUUCUGCUCUAGGGUUUCUGAUCCUAGCAGGUCAUGAGAAGGAAGAGCAGGCCGCUCCCGGUGGCCUUCUCCAAGGAGCGGUGGCGCGGUGCUCGGCUGCAAGGGGAAUAUGAGGCAGAGACCAAGAAGGAGAGCCAGGCUGCAGGAUAAAGAGGAGGAGCAGAAAGUGAUUUCGAAGCAAAUCAAUUUCAGCCAGAAGGAACUCAAAAUAGUGUUGGCAGGAGAUAUCACCAUAAUGCAAAAAUCUGCUGCAAGUCAAUUCAGGUUUUCUAGGUCAUUUACAAUUUACAAACCAGAUUCCAGUAGCAUUAAAUAUGACAGAAGACAUCGAAGGAGAAGAACUUUAUCUGAAGAAACAGAUGAAGUCCAAUGGGCAUGGCCAACAUUUUCCUACGAAGAAAACAAAUCAGGUUGCAAUGUAAUGUGCAGAGGUCCUCUUGGUCCCUGCAGCGCGUGGAGGUGGUUAGCCUCGGCCAGGUCAAGUUGUCGAUGCCGGUGAAGCUCUGUAUAUGCACUCCGUUCCUAGAGUUGGUGUUCGUCAUCCCCUUAUCUGAAAAUUCAUUUAGAAUAAGGCCACUUGCGCAUCCAGUGAAGGGUUGUGAUGCCGCGGUCUGUGCAACAUUGUCAUUGUCGUCAGAGGCAUACAAGAGAAGCCCAGUCCCAAGCCGGCAUCAUGGCCUCUACUUCCAAUAGAUCCUUUUCAGCAGUUUAUGGUCUAAUAGGAUUAGGGAUGUUGGAGGAUAAUUAUAAUUGUCAUCGAGGCAGUAGCAGGUCAAAAGUGAGGCCUAGAUUCAUUGACGCUGGAGGCUUGGUGUCACAUCUGGUGGCCAAGUAGAAAAUCAAAGCUACACAUACUGAUAAUGGAUAUGAAUGGAGAGUAUCCUCGCCAACCAGUUGUCACAGUACUCCCAUGGACGUGUUUCAAAAGGAUGGUGUGUACUGAAUAUGAGUUCAACACACUAAGGUGUACUUAUCAGUUCGUUCUUUCUAUGAAGCAUGUCACAUUGUCUGCAAGCUCACGGGGUACAUCUCCUCCUACUUCAUCUAAGGUUAUUAGGUUGUACUCCCUGCUCCCUUACUUACUCAUUUGUUGACUAUUUAUCUCUCGGAACUUCACGGUCAAUAUUUCCACUGCAUGCAACAGUGGCAUGAUGUGCCUUCGACUUCUUGCGCAAAAGUUGGUCAUAUAUUUCUAAAGUUUUGGGUAACUCAUAUUUUCUCACAUUCAACCUGUUGAAUCAAAUGAGAGUAGCCUGCAUGUAUAGUUCUUAGUCUUUCUAAAAUUAUCCAAUUCUCUAUGGGGGCCCUAAUAACUAGGUUGUUUUCAGAGAUAUGUACAGUGGGACCGGUGUCGGUUGGUGUUAGCUGAAACACAUGAUUAUUCACAUUAUUUUUAGCAGCUCUUAUAGUGGUACUUGCGGAUUAAUAUGGUCGGUCAUCAUAAUUUGUAGCAUUCUCUCUAUCGUGGUCAAUUGCGUCCUGAGGCUUUUUUGAUGGAUGAUUCACCAUUUUUGUUUGCAGCCUGGUUGAGUAUGUCUCUGAGCAUCUGUCCUCUCCUAGCUUUCUAAUUGUUAGCAUGUUUAUAUCUCUUGUGCAAGUUAAGAGUACCAGAUGUAGUUUGUAACCAUAUAAAUUUUGUAGCAGAUUUUACUUGUUCGGGUUCUAAUAGAAACUUGCCUAGCUUUUGAAAAAUCAUGCAUGUGUAUAUCAGUGAUCUGCAUCCAAGUCUGUAAAGCAUAUUGGUAGCAUAAUUUAUUUUGAAGCAGUUUUCUCCAUCUUAUAGUGUAUGUUCAGGUUUUCAGCACACAAUUGGUUUUUCCUUUUCUUUUUGUCUUUUGCUUUUUAUAGUUGAAGAAAUAAAGAGAAAUCCAAUUAUUGUCAUUUUUCGCUUCCAGCUUGUAUUUAAAUUUGGAUUACACUACCAGUGCAAUGUAAACCAGAUAUGGUAUGUCUACUUGAUAAUCGAUCACUAUUUCUGGUAUGUCACAGCUAUCGUAGAUAAGCGAUCACUAUUUCCACUUCAUCUUUUUUUUAUGGUACGCAGAUUCUUUUAUAUAUACCUACAAGUUGUUUGAUGAGAAUUUAAUUAUGCUGCAAGGGGAUAUUCUUCUAUUUAAUGUUUAUGCCAUGUUGUGUACUCAUUUCUUUUUUAGUCAGCUCAAGUAAACGAUGAGAAGUUGAGUAGUCUGUCAGGCUGCAUCUUUCGGCAAUCACUGCAGACAGACAGCGACGACCUGAUGCAAGAUGUUAUCAAUCCCCACCCUUCUCCCUUAUUGAUCUCCCUUGUUUUCUACAGUAAUACAGAAUUUUGUAAUAUUUUGGUUCAGAAAAUUGAUCGGUUGUAUUCUGUAUAUAUAGAGGUUGAUGUAAAUUAUCGAUUGCACUUGUCCUAUACUAAUUAGCUACUCCUGUAAAAUUCCAUCGUCAUAUAAUCACAAAGAGAUCAUAACCUUCGAUUUCUUAGGGAUGUUUUCAAUAGUUGGAUAAGAUGUCUACCACACAAUUUAUACAAAGAACAAUAUCAUGCUACAUGUCCUAGACCUGUCAAGGAAGUUCAUCAAUUGUUUACUUCUCAUUAGUUUCUGCAAUAUAACAUUUUCCCUACAGAUCAGAUCUUCGUUUCUUUAUACCUGAAAUUUCCCUGAUUCUAAUAUGCAAGAAUGAGAACUACCAAAUCAAGAACCGCAAGUGGGACAAGAGAAUUACCAAAUGGAAAUCACGAGACAGAGAGAGGGUUGGCCUUGCCGCCUCGCCGGCCGGCCGGAGGGUAGCUCGAGCUGAGUCCGUGCUGCUGAGCUGCACAACGUGCGGCCUUGACACAAGACGAACGAGUCUCCAGUAGACCGCCGCCGCCACCCAGCGGCCAGCGCCACCGGCGGCUGGUCAUCCCAACCGCUCAUGGGGCACACCGCCAAACAGUCAGCCGCUUUCACAGACGAGAGAUAAGAGGAUUGUUGUUCGUAUCCAUGCGUUCGAGGCU